rnacentral:lncRNA from 1 species
GAGGCCCUGAAGGGGGCAAAAGUCAUUGUGAGUCUCAAGUGUGGAUCGAGCAAUCCAUAAAGAAAGCCAGGCUGGAGUUACAUCUAAGCCUCCCAUUGUCUUUGUCUCCACGAUCAGCUAGACGUUUGACUCUGGAGAUUCAUUUCACACUUAAGGCUUUGGAAAUCUCAUCUACAAAAUGCACAAUGAAAUAGCGCCACAGAGGAUUCUACAGAGACUAUGCACAGUCACCUAUGCCUGGCUCAUUGCUGUCGUCUAAUUAGCAUUAGUUCAUUUCCCAAAUUCUCAGUUGCAGAGAAGGGUAAUAGAAAGUAGGUAUAACAUUGAUUUAGUAACAGCUACUUGAGGAUAAAGACAUACUAUGAUGUGAAAGGCUAAUAUUGCUUGUUAUAGUAGCAUGCUUGUUUAUUCCUUGGGAAAUGUUACUAAGUUAACAGUGAAGUAGGACCAGUCUACAGCGGAGGGAAUGUAUUUAUCCUUUCUUCUCUCUGUUCGCAGCUGCCUGCCACUCAAAGUUCUAAUUCUCAGAAUCUUGGAAUAAGAAGAUGGAUGGAUGUGGGAAGAGAGCCAUGUCACAGCAACCAGGAGGGCCUGUUUCAGAUGCGUCAGAAAAUCAGCAACAUGCAGUCCACCAGGUGCACAGACGGUGGCUUUGGAUCUCUGUCUGCACGUUUGGAUAUGGAAAAAAGUUUCCCAACUCAUCUCCCGCUGGUUCUACAUCUCACCUUCAUUUCUGCUCAGAGCUUCUCUUCCUUAAGGCUCACAAGAGCGGCACACAUCCCGGCGCUCUCUCUCCUCGCUCUGAGUCCGUGUCUGAGGAGGACAGAGCUGCGUGGGCCUGAGGCCACUGGUCCUCCAGGUGCUGUGCAGACAUCACCACCAACCAGAGAGCUGUGGCCGGAAGAGCUGCGAACCCCAUCUCUCAGCACACACAGACCCUUAUUUCUUGACAACUUACUAUUAGCUCAGCAAAACGAUGAGCACUUUCAUUCAUGUCUAAGGGAAGUGCAGUAUUACCUAGAAGAGGCAUCUGUUGCCAUUUUAGAUUUAAAUUUUUAUUUUUUAAAUUGCCGCGGAAUGCAUGUCUGCAGGGUGCACCAUUCCCACUCCUGGAGCACACAGCACACCUUAACCCCGUUCCCACCCCUUUCCUUCUCCCCGCACUCCCGCUCCAGCCCUCAAUCCCCUUCCCAUCUGGGGAAGAUCUACAUGCCUACCUCCUAUCAUCC